AGAGUUUGAUCCUGGCUCAGGACGAACGCUGGCGGCGUGCCUAAUACAUGCAAGUCGAGCGCAGGAAAUCGACGGAACCCUUCGGGGGGAAGUCGACGGAAUGAGCGGCGGACGGGUGAGUAACACGUAAAGAACAUGCCAUAAGGACGAGAAAUCGGGUCUAAUACCGGAUGGGUCCUCGGACCGCAUGCUCCGAGGAUGAAAGGCGCUUCGGCGUCGCCUAAAGAUGAGUAUGCGGUGCAUUAGCUAGUUGGUGGGGUAAUGGCCCACCAAGGCGACGAUGCAUAGCCGACCUGAGAGGGUGAUCGGCCACACUGGGACUGAGACACGGCCCAGACUCCUACGGGAGGCAGCAGUAGGGAAUCUUCCACAAUGGACGAAAGUCUGAUGGAGCAACGCCGCGUGAACGAUGAAGGCCUUCGGGUCGUAAAGUUCUGUUGUAAGGGAAGAACAAGUGCCGCAGGCAAUGGCGGCACCUUGACGGUACCUGCAGAAGAAGCGCCGGCUAACUACGUGCCAGCAGCCGCGGUAAUACGUAGGGCGCAAGCGUUAUCCGGAAUUAUUGGGCGUAAAGAGCUCGUAGGCGGUUUGUCGCGUCUGCCGUGAAAGUCCGGGGCUCAACUCCGGAUCUGCGGUGGGUACGGGCAGACUAGAGUGAUGUAGGGAGGCUUGAAUUCCUGGUGUAGCGGUGAAAUGCGCAGAUAUCAGGAGGAACACCGAUGGCGAAGGCAGGUCUCUGGGCAUUAACUGACGCUGAGGAGCGAAAGCAUGGGGAGCGAACAGGAUUAGAUACCCUGGUAGUCCAUGCCGUAAACGUUGGGCACUAGGUGUGGGGGACAUUCCACGUUUUCCGCGCCGUAGCUAACGCAUUAAGUGCCCCGCCUGGGGAGUACGGCCGCAAGGCUAAAACUCAAAGGAAUUGACGGGGGCCCGCACAAGCGGCGGAGCAUGCGGAUUAAUUCGAUGCAACGCGAAGAACCUUACCAAGGCUUGACAUGAACCGGAAAUACCUGGAGACAGGUGCCCCGCUUGCGGUCGGUUUACAGGUGGUGCAUGGUUGUCGUCAGCUCGUGUCGUGAGAUGUUGGGUUAAGUCCCGCAACGAGCGCAACCCUUGUCCUUAGUUGCCAUCAUUCAGUUGGGCACUCUAAGGAGACUGCCGGUGACAAACCGGAGGAAGGUGGGGAUGACGUCAAAUCAUCAUGCCCCUUAUGAGUUGGGCUACACACGUGCUACAAUGGACGGUACAAAGGGCAGCGAACCCGCGAGGGGGAGCCAAUCCCAGAAAACCGUUCUCAGUUCGGAUUGCAGGCUGCAACUCGCCUGCAUGAAGCCGGAAUCGCUAGUAACCGUGGAUCAGCAUGCCACGGUGAAUACGUUCCCGGGCCUUGUACACAACGCCCGUCA
rnacentral:rRNA from 1 species